rnacentral:sRNA from 1 species
GCUACAUGUCACAGGAGUAAGGAAGGGCUAACAAGAACAAAGAGAUUUACAUGCGCGGAAGCGCAGGUAACGGGCGCUACCCUCGCCCGUCAGAGGAAUCGGCUUGGGAUGACGUCAUGCACCCUGAUCGGGAAGCUGUAGAACUCGUCGUUUCUAGGAUCUGAGUAACCUUUCCGACGGUGCAGGAACGGCAUGAACCAUGGAAGCCCCCGGUCGUUUUCGUAGCCUCUAAACUCCAGUGUGUUGUCCAGGAUCGAUGCGACAAUCAGUGACACUGUCGGGCCAGAGGCGAAGACUGUGUUUAUGAUGAAUAUACCCAUCCAGCAUUUGUUCGGGCAGGUCCAGUGCUAGCAGAAGCAGUAUACUCAUGGAAGUAUUGAGGAACCGAGAUGCCUAGGAACAGCGAAAGUCCAAUGAUGUAUAUGUUCCUCAUCGAAUUUUUGUUUACAAAUUGCAUGUACGAGACUCCCACCGCAGCUACAAUACCAAAUAAGAUACAGAAAAUUGCUGCGAAGAUUGGCAAUGGAAUAGAUGCAAAGAAAGCACCAAACUUCCCUGCAUGAAUAGAAAAGAAAAUCAUAAAUCCAGUUGAUAUCUGGAUCACUCUCCUGCUUCCAACUUUUGUUAGUCCAAGAAGCCCAAUGUUUUCACUGCAUUAUAUUAAAGGCAAGGGAAUAUAAAAUCUUAUAUUGAACAAAACUCACCUGCAAACCAACACUCCUACUAAGGACACUAGCUGGAGGUGGUGUCGCACCAGCUAGACGUGCAGUUGCAAAGUGUGCACCAGUGGACUCAAAAGCAGAAACAAGUACAGCACCCAUCAUUCCAAAUGAAUGACCUGCAGUGAAGAUUGGUGUACCCCAUUGGAAGGGGUAUGGGAUUUUGAUCCUAGUAGAGCAUGUAUGUAAAGGGACUUGUCAGUGCGGCAGUGCUGCUGGGUCUUGAGUGAAACAUGGUUGUAUGCACCAGCAGCAGUAAGGAUAGCUGCAAAGGCCCACACAAUCCCAAUACAAAGAAGCAACGAAUACCUCUCAAACAAGAAGGUGAUUCGCUCAUGGUAAUGAUGGAAGUAAUAUGGCACAUACUGCAUACACAGCAUAGUAAAUAGUAAGUUUCGUAGUAUAUCACCGAGAUCGUACCUGGGGAAAGCCAAGUGCAAAUAGCCCAAGACCAACAACGCAAACAACAGGGGUCAUUAUUACAGGACUAAAUUUCUGGCGAAUGCCCCCCAAAUUGUGCUGAACCCAAGAAUCAUGUUGAGGAUAGAAGCAACAAUCAGAGCCCCUUGAGUUGCUCUCAUUGUGUGAGUAAAUCUCUGCAAAAUCCCUAAUAGUUAUUUUGUUCAAAGUCUUUGGCUAUUGACAGUACUGGGACGACAAAUGCAAAGGAAGCAUUCAUAACUGUAGGGAGCCGCGUUCCAACAAGUGUUUGGAGGAGAGUAUUGAUGCCACUCAUAAAUAGGAAGGAUUGAAUAACACGAGCCUUAUCCCCCUAUUAGCAACAAGCGGGAAAAGGAACAAUAGUUGAUGCAAGCAUGACAGUAGAACCCAGCAUCACAAGAUAGUGGAGGAAUGCAAGUGCGGCCACCUGAACUGAAGGAAGGGUUGGAGUGGACGCAGUAGGCGAGAUGGUGGAACUGCUCGUGCGGCGGGAAGACGGCGCCGGUGCCGACGGGCGGAUGCAUGAUUGGCUGCAUCACCAUCGGCGGCGGCACGGCCACCGGCGGCGGCGGCGGCUGGUUCAUCUCCCCCAUU